rnacentral:rRNA from 1 species
UACGAAGGGGGCUAGCGUUGUUCGGAAUUACUGGGCGUAAAGCGCGCGCAGGCGGUCUUCCAAGUCAGUGGUGAAAGCCCGGAGCUCAACUCCGGAACUGCCAUUGAAACUGUUAGACUUGAGGAUGAGAGAGGUGAGUGGAAUUCCCAGUGUAGAGGUGAAAUUCGUAGAUAUUGGGAAGAACACCGGUGGCGAAGGCGGCUCACUGGCUCAUUACUGACGCUCAGGCGCGAAAGCUAGGGGAGCGAACAGG